ensembl:snRNA U2 U2 spliceosomal RNA
AUCACUCUUCGGCCUUUUGGUUAAAAUCAAUUAUCGGAUCUCUUCUUAUCAGUUUAAGAUCUGAUAAGUUUUGCUCUCCAAGGACAAUAUGUUAAAUGGAUUUUUGGAGCAGAACGCUUACUGUGUCCAUUACACGCGUCGAGCUGGUAUGGCAGUAUCUCCAAAAACGGUGCACCCCCU